rnacentral:rRNA from 1 species
AUUGAACGCUGGCGGCAGGCCUAACGCAUGCAAGUCGAGCGGAUGAAGGGAGCUUGCUCCUGGAUUCAGCGGCGGACGGGUGAGUAAUGCCUAGGAAUCUGCCUGGUAGUGGGGGAUAACGUCCGGAAACGGGCGCUAAUACCGCAUACGUCCUGAGGGAGAAAGUGGGGGAUCUUCGGACCUCACGCUAUCAGAUGCGCCUAGGUCGGCUUAGCUAGUUGGUGGGGUAAAGGCCUACCAAGGCGACGAUCCGUAACUGGUCUGAGAGGAUGAUCAGUCACACUGGAACUGAGACACGGUCCAGACUCCUACGGGAGGCAGCAGUGGGGAAUAUUGGACAAUGGGCGAAAGCCUGAUCCAGCCAUGCCGCGUGUGUGAAGAAGGUCUUCGGAUUGUAAAGCACUUUAAGUUGGGAGGAAGGGCAGUAAGUUAAUACCUUGCUGUUUUGACGUUACCAACAGAAUAAGCACCGGCUAACUUCGUG